UGAUGUGUUUGCUUUUCUCUUUCUCCAGGGUGAGGCUGGAGUGAGUGGCCUCCCAGGAGGAAAUGGAGUUCGUGGUCCUCCUGGACCAUCUGGACUCCCAGGGCUGCCUGGUCCCCCAGGUCCCCCAGGACCUCCUGGACACCCAGGGGUUCUUCCAGAUGGUGCUGGUGACCUUCAGUGUCCAUCUAUCUGUCCACCUG
rnacentral:lncRNA from 1 species